AUGGAGGUGCAGGCUCGCCAUGGCUGCCUACCAACAGGGAGGCAGCAGCACCUCCAUGGCCAUGGCCAGGCUCACCAACAACCUCCCGCAGGAGAAGAUGAGUGGUGGGAGUACUUCCCCUGCCCCUUCUGCUACAUUGAGGUGGAGGUCCCCUUCCUCUGUGACCACCUGCAGGAGGAGCACUGCUUUGACAUGAGGAACGCUGUGUGCCCGAUCUGCGCCGACAACCUCGGGGCCGACACGGCCGGGCAUUUCAGGGAGCAGCACUCACAGCAACUCAAGAUGAGGAAGUCUUCUUCUUCCAGGGCAGGAGCAGCAGCUGCUGACAAGGAGGCAUAUGAAGAGGAUGACUCCUACUUCGAAGAAUCCUCAUACAUCAUGGGCCGGCCGGUAGCUGAUGAUCAUUCCCCUGACCCUCUGCUCUCCCAGUUCAUCUGCACCGUCGCGCCCCCGGUCAUCGAUCCAGAGCCCAGCAAGGCCGAGGAGGUUGAUCAUGCUGCACCUUCCUCAGAUGAUCAGAGGCUGAAUCAGGUUGUGAUGGAUGAUGCGUCGAAGCAGGACCUCGAGGAGCGGCUGCGGAGAGUCGAGUUUGUGAAGCAGAUGCUGAUGACGACGAUGGCUUGGGACUGA
rnacentral:rRNA from 1 species